rnacentral:rRNA from 1 species
GAUGAACGCUGGCGGCGUGCCUAAUACAUGCAAGUCGAGCGAACAGACGAGGAGCUUGCUCCUCUGACGUUAGCGGCGGACGUGUGAGUAACACGUUGAUAACCUACCUAUAAGACUGGGAUAACUUCGGGAAACCGGAGCUAAUACCGGAUAAUAUAUUGAACCGCAUGGUUCAAUAGUGAAAGACGGUUUUGCUGUCACUUAUAGAUGGAUCCGCGCCGCAUUAGCUAGUUGGUAAGGUAACGGCUUACCAAGGCAACGAUGCGUAGCCGACCUGAGAGGGUGAUCGGCCACACUGGAACUGAGACACGGUCCAGACUCCUACGGGAGGCAGCAGUAGGGAAUCUUCCGCAAUGGGCGAAAGCCUGACGGAGCAACGCCGCGUGAGUGAUGAAGGUCUUCGGAUCGUAAAACUCUGUUAUUAGGGAAGAACAAAUGUGUAAGUAACUAUGCACGUCUUGACGGUACCUAAUCAGAAAGCCACGGCUAACUACGUG